rnacentral:lncRNA from 1 species
UUUGCUUUCAUGGCAGUGACCACAAGGUGUACACUGAGUCAUUCAGGUUCUCGAUUUCUCUCUGGUUUUAGUUUUUGUUUUUGCUUGUUUUGUCUUGUUUUGUCUUGUUUUACACUAGUGAAGAUAUUGGUGUGGUGAAGGGCUGUGCUCUGUUGAUGGCCCAGACUGUAAACCAUUCAUUACACACUUUUAUUCAUUGCACAUGUUUAGCAGUGACUAUGCGGUGAGCAAGAUGCUAGGACACUGGAGGAUGCAAAAGGAAUGAGAUAUGACUCUAACCUACAAUGGCUGAUGCCUCACCAGGAUAAAUACAAAUUUUGGUUGUUAGAAAGUGGAAUUGGAACAAGAAAUAUUUAGGUUAUUCUGGGGAGGAAAUGAAUCAGCCGGGUUACGUUCAGCUUCAUGUAACAGAAUUGCUGGCCCAAAGUGGCUUCACCACAGGUGGCUAUGAUGUCGCCAACAAGGAGUCCGGAGUCAGGAGGCUCCGGGGUUGAUGAAUUCAUCCUGUCGGCAAGGGCAGGCUUUCAUCAGCUCCUCUGGGAUUCUCCUUCCUCUUUCCUCACAGUCUCACUGUGGCUGCUACAGCUGCGAACAUCACACACUCACUCUACCAGGUCAAAGGCAGAGAGCGAUGAUUGAUUCCUACUGCCUUUCUUUCUUAGUUAAAGAGACAAAACCUUCCCAGACACCACGUUUCUCCUGCAGCAGGCGUCCUCUCAGGCCCUAUUGGCCAGAACUGGGUCAAGUGCCCUCCUCACCCCCAACCAAUCCUGGCAAAGAGGAAGGGCAGGACCAUGACUGGUUUUCUCCAGUCACAAUUCAUUCCCCCGAAAUGGGCCUACUUUCUCUGAGCCCAUUGCAUCAGGAGACCAGAACAACUUACAUUUUAUUUAUUAGUAUUACCACUAUUCAGUGUCAAAAAGAAGAAACGACUGCUGGAGAAAAUACCAACAAUGUUUGCAACAGGAGGCGAGAAGGUCAAGGACCAAAAGUUCAGGUAUAGAAUGGAUUGUCAUUAUGGAAGCAGAAGUCACAGAAAAUACACAGGGGUGUAGUGGCCAGCAGCGAGCAGGGCUAAAGUCUUCAGUGAUGACCACAGGGACGCAGAAGGAGCAGACCACUGCGUAGGAGGAGUGAUGGGUGCCGUCCAGGAAGGUGCUUCCACUUUCUCAGAUGGGCAGCCUUCUCCCUCUUUGGCCCUCGACCCCUGGCGUGAGGACCCUUCCUCUUCUUGGAGUCUCGCCUCCUCUGUGCUUGCCCCAGGACACCUGGAGCCUGCCCACCCUCUUCUCCAUCUCCCCUCCCCCGCCAUGCAUGCCGUCCUCAGAGCCGGCCAUCAGACGGGAGAGGCCGGGGCAGCAAAUAGAACAGUUGCAGCGUCAGGACCCAGGCCUCCAGUGGUCACCAUGGAACCCCUGGGCGGAACUUCAGUGAUGGGCAGGGCCCGGGGAGGACCCUGCCGGCUCUCCAUCCCCGAGGGUCCUGGGGCACUGGGUAGGGCUGCCUGCGUGGCCGGUCGCCGCACCGACUCCCAGGGCUCCACGUGUGAAGUGAACGCUCAGCCACUGGGGGGAGGGAGCCGGACACUGUAAGGCGCACGGGCUGCGUGGGCAGCGAGCCCUCCUGUAGGGACACCCCGUUGGCGUCCAGUCGGGGUGAUGACAUAAGGAGGAGGGGGUGAGAGCCGCCGGGCCACUGGUCAGGGUGAGCUGUGACGUCACAGGAGGCGUUGUGACGGAGGGGCGGUUAUAAAAGCCGGGGCGCGGGCCCGGGGCCUGGCUAAGGGUAGGGGUGGCCCCUCGGUGGCAGCUGCGUGCGCCGCCCGGCCUGUAGCCCACACGGCGCGGUGCGCUCCGUCUGCGUGUUCGUCCACCUGCGCGCCCCUCUGCGGCCGAGUCCCAGCCCCGCACUCCGGGACCUGCCCGUGCUCCUCGCCUCCGCGGCCUCUUCGGCGGGGGAACCAGUACAGAGGACCCUCACCCAGCGAAAAGCCCUCCCAGGCCUCGCGGAUAAGCGCCGGGCGGCAAGAGUGCCCCGGGGGUCCCGCUGACCCAGCGCAGCACAGGGCAGCCGCCGGCCCCGCUCUCGUCCUCGGGACCACCCCACCACCAGCACCACGUGCGCAGCGGGUCCAGCCCCAAGGUUUCCUGGAUGUCCCCGAGUCCUCGCCUGCGCCUGGCGAUCAGCGCCUCUGCCAGGCCCAGAGGUGGCUGGAAGAGGCUGCUCCCUAGCAGAAGACGUCAUUCCGAUGUGGUGUGCCCAGAAGAUGCAGAGGGUAAGGAGAGCGGCUCAGGAACUCAUGCUACCUGGCAGCCCUGGCCCUGGGCGUGUCCCUGGUUUCCCGGUGGUUCCCCAACCUCCGGAAAGGAGAGAACCAGUCCCCCGGCCCCUCCCGCCCACCAGGAUUCUGUCUGUAAGACGGAAGCCAGGAGAUGGCCAGGAAGGACAACCUGAACGCAGGCAAGUGGAGUGUCUUGACCCAGUAACAGACAUCAGAGGCCACCCAUCCAGGCGGAAAUCCAUCUCCAGUGGAGGGCCGAUCAGGGGCCAUCUGCGAGGGCAGGUUGCUCCUUCUGUCCGAGGCAGGCUUGGAAAGGUCUGUGCAGGACAGUGCCAAGGCCUGGCCAGGGUUUGGAGCCAUUCAGAGCGCAGGCCCCUAACGGGUCACUGGGCCAAGGUGCUUGCGGGGCUCGUGGCCUGAAGACCUUUGUCCUGGGACCGACACCAGCCUGGUGUCCUGGUGGCAUACCACUUGGGGACCCUUCUUCUUCUGGCUCAGAGGGAGCAAAGGCUGCGUGCGUUAGAACAACAGAACGACGAGAAGUGGGAAGACCUGUCCGUGGACAUCCAACUUAUGGAGGAAGGCACGCCGGACUCUGAGGGGAAGCUGGAAUUGACCAAAACAGCUCUUAACACCUUCGGGGAAAUUAGUGAAAUCUGUCUAAGGGAGUGUCUGAGCUGAAGGAGUCCCUGAAACUGUGUGCAGAAGAAAUCAAAGCUGGAAAACCUGCUUGUCAUCUUGGAAGGACACGCUUUAAAGAACUUGCCAGAGGACCAGGGCUCCCUGGACGUGGCCUGAGAUGAGAGCAGGGAGAGGGGACACCAAGGCUCCAGGUGCACCUCCUCCUGGGCGGUGGGCCCCUCAGCUCCUGGGCCUGUGGCUGGAGCUCAGGCGUCAUCCCCCAGGACUCCCCAAGGGAGCCCAGGCGGAGGGCGGCGAGCCGAGGACGGGCCAGCUCUGCCGAUGGGCUGUACCGACGUGAGUGCUGACGGAUCCAGGCUUUGAGAGGAGGCCAGCACUGCACCCAAGCGCCCCCGGAGAAAAGGAGCAUGGGAGACCACCAUGUGUGCAGGGUCCUUGGGCGGAGGCCUCGCCUCCCCUCCAACGGGUCACCUUCGACGCUUUGCAGGGAGCCCUGUGUUGCUGGUACAGGGAAGCCGGACCUCCCAGGACCGAGGGCCCCAGAACGAACAUCUAAAUGGAAAAUCCACUCCCUUCUCCACACGUCUGGAAGAGUGAAGACUUUCCUUGGGGUCAUGGUGCAGGCGCUAUGGGCAGACUGGGCGCCACACUUGCUAGUGACAGAAUCAGCCAAGUUUCUAGACGUUUUGAUUCCUUUCCCCUUCUGUUAUCAGUAUUCAUAUGCACAUGGCUUCCAUUUAUUUUUCAGGACAAACCAGUUAUUAAUGGAAACAACCUUGGCAGCCGGAGCAAGUGUCCUGACGUGUUGGGUUAUCAUUUUAUGCACCAGGGCACAACUGGCUGAGCACGGGCCCAGGAGGUCUGCUCAUGCCCCUCCCUGGUCCCCACUGACCCUCUGGGUCUCGUCUAAUGGGGGUCACCCUGGAUUUGCAUCCUCCAAGAUGCAGCAAGACCUUCUGUGACUUUAGCACAGAAUUCUAAGCACGGGGCCAUCUUGGCCACAGCUGGAGUGAUUGACAAGCACAGUCCCACAGGGGAAAGGAGAGAACAGAACACCCACCUCCCUUCUCCUUAUGUCAGACCACACGGCAGGCCAAGGUCGCAAGGCCCCACGUCGUGUCUGAGAUGCUCCAUCCAGAGUCUGUCCUGAGGACUCGGAGAUGAUCUCACAUCACAAGUCCCUCGUAUUUUAUUUUACAACAAAUGAUAAUAUUACCAGGCCAGCUGCACCUUCCCAAAGGUCGGUAGCAGAGAGGGAGCCUGCCUUGGGUGGGGCCUAGCCUCACGGGGAGGGGCGAGCGCAGGGCAGACAAGAGGUCCACCUCACCUCCAGGUCUGCAGGGCCGGAGUGCUCGCUGACCCCUCACUGCCUCCUGCGACAGAGUCACCCUGUCAGUCCCCCUCUGUACCUGGAGAAACGGGCAGGCAACGUAAGUCUGCCAGGUGGCCCGCAGGUAAGGGGAGGAGCCUGGUGUGACCGGUCCUCACUUGCACCGCUGUGGCCCCUGCCCACCCACAGGUCAGUGCCCACGCUUGUCAGCCUUGGGCGUGCGGCAGCGACAGUGGCAGCGAUGUCCAGAUGGAGCAGGGACGUCUGUGCCACCAGCCAGCGUGUCCAGGGGCUUCCACUCUGAUCCAGGGGUUGGCACGGCCCCCAGCACUGGCUGUAACCUCCAGGCCCCCCGUCCACUUCCUUCUGGCACUGUGCAUCUUCCCUUCUGGGGACUUGCCUGAACCCACAGUCCUCCCCCGCCUUUGAGUCCUGGAUUUCUCUUUCCUUUUUUCGUUGAGGAGGAAUUCACAUAAUAUGAGCCGACUUAGAGUGUACAGUUAUUGGCAUCUGGCACAUUCACAGUGCUGUGCAACCACCACCUCCGUCUGGUUGCAGAACAUGUUCAUCCCCCCGACAGGGAGACCCCUGCCAUUAGGCGGUCACUCCUCAUUCUGCCUCUCCCAGCAACCGCUAGUCCACUCUCUGUCCCGUGGAUUCAGCUGUUCUGGACAUUUCAUAUCAAUGGAAUCAUACAACGUGUGACCUUUCCCGUCUGGCCUCCAAGUGGCGUGUUUUCAAGGGUCAUCCAUGCUGUAGAAUGUGUCAGUACAGUCACGUGUCGCUUAAUGAUGGGGACACGUUCUGAGAACACGUCGUCAGGGGGUUGCUUCACGGUGCAAACAUCACAGUGACCUUACACAACCUAGAAGCUACAGCCUACGACACCCGUAGGCUACAUGGGACCACUGUGGUACACACGGUCUGUCGUUGACCGAAACGUCAUUAUGUGAUGCGUGACUGUCCUUCAUUCAUUUUUAUGGCUGAAUAAUAGUCCAGUAACAUCCACUGUAUGGAUGGAGCGCAUCUGUUUAUCCGUUUGUCAGCUGGUGCGUGUUGGCGUUGUUGCCACCUUUGGCUGUUAAGGCUGCUGUGAACAUCUGUGUAAAAUUUUGGUUUGACAUCAGUUUUCAGUUCUUCCGGGUAUGUACCUGGGUGUGAAAUUGCUGGAUCACGUGGUAAUUCUGUGUGUAACUUUUUUUUUUUUUAAUUUUAAUUUUUUUUUUUUAAAGAUUUUAUUCUUUCCUUUUUCUCCCCGAAGCCCUCGGUACAUAGUUGUAUAUUCUUCGUUGUGGGUCCUUCUAGCCGUGGUAUGUGGGACGCUGCCUCAGCGUGGUCUGAUGAGCAGCGCCAUGUCUGCGCCCAGGACUCGAACGGACGAAACACUGGGCCACCUGCAGCGGAGCGCGCGAACUCAACCACUCAGCCACGGAGCCAGCCCCUCCGUGUGUAACUUUUUGAGGAACCUCCACACUGUUUUCCGCAGCCCCUGCCCCACUUUUCAUUCCCACCAGCAAAGAAGGAGGGCUCCCACUUCUCCACACCCUCACUAACACUUGUUAUUUUCCACUUUUGGAUGGAGGCCAUCCUAGUGGGUGUGAAGUGGCAUCUCACUGUGGUUUUGAUUUGCAUUUCCCUAGUGACUAACGCAGGGGAGGUGAAAUUUCUCCCUUACCCUCCUGGGGUUUCUGGCUAGGACUGACAUGAGACAGAUUAAUAGCAGAAAACCAUUCAAGUCCUAUUUAAUAAGUGUACAUGUAUGUGGGAUCCUCACAGGAAAAUGAAGACCCAAAGAAUUGACAAGGCCUAAGUACUUAUAAAGCGGGUUGAACAAAGAGGGGCAACUGUGGAAAGUAACUAAAAUAUCUGGGGAGCCUAAGGGAGACGAGAGUGUGGCUGCACAGAGCUCCCUUGGCCCUGUCUCCCCGCCUCUGGUGAGAAGAGUUUCUCUCCUCCCAGGACGGGUGUGCGUCUUCCACGCGGGGCUUCCAUCUCCUGCUUGCAGGAGGCGAAGUGGAGGUUGGAGCGCCCCUCCUGCGCCCGCUGUUCUUCAGGUGCCUUUGGCUCAAAGUAGUUAGGGUGCCGAGGAGGCAUGUUUGGAGUGGUGUCCUGACGCCUUGUUAAUGAUGCUGAGCGUCUUUUCACGUGCUUACUGGCCGUCUGUGUAUCUUCUUUAGAGAACCGUCUGUUGAAGUGCUUUGUCCAUUUCUUAAUGGGGUUGUUUGUCUUUCUGUCUUUGAGUUACAAGAGUUCUUUUAUAUUCUAGACCCUAGAUUCUUAUCAGAUGUAUGACUUGCAAAUAUGUGCUCCCAUCUAUAGCUUGUCUUUUCACCUUCUUGAUAAUAUCCUUUGAUGCACAGAAGUUUUUAAUUUUGAUAACAUCCCACCUUUCUAGUUUUUCUUUCGUUACCUGAGCUUUUGGUCUCAUUAUCUCAGACUCCAUUGUCAAAUCGAGGCCUAGAUUUCUUGGGUGAAGUUUUUUAUUUUUUCCUUUUUCUCCCCAAAGCCCCCCGGUACAUAGUUGUAUAUUCUUCGUUGUGGGUCCUUCUGGUUGUGGCAUGUGGGACGCCGCCUCAGCGUGGUUUGAUGAGCAGUGCCAUGUCCGCACCCAGGAUUUGAACCAACGAAACCCUGGGCCGCCUGCAGUGGAGCGCGCGAACUUAACCACUCGGCCACGGGGCCAGCCCCGUCUUGGGUGAAGUUUUGCCCUGACAUCUGUGUCCUCAGCUCUCGCUGGUCUGUGCUGCAUCCACACUGAUGUCCAGGGACUUACCUGGGUCCUUUCCCUCUCGGUUCUGCUGAGCACGCUUGCCCCUGCACUUCUCCGGUUCCUCCAGGUCAGCAUGGAUCCUGAGCCACAGCCCCUUCCCCGGCCCCUUGGCCCUCACUUGCUCCUCACACCCCACCAGGAUGUUGGCUCCGGUAUUCGGUGCCGCGGUGCUGGGCACUUGGGCAGUGCUCGGCAGCUCUUCACACGCCCAUGCUGAAGCUCGGGCUCGGGUGUCUGGCGCCAGCAGAGACACUGGGCGCAGAGCUGGCUCUCGUUGUCUCACAGGCUCCUCGCUGACCCAGCUCCCAGCCCUGCGGGGCCCCCGUGACCGCCGCAGCGCCAGAUGGUUCAACGAACACAUAAUUGAGCCCCAGGAGGAGAGGAAGAGUGAACGGGGCAGGAAGAGAGAGCGAACAUUUUCCCGUGUUCACGAUGCCCCACGAGCACAGAAUCCCGGGCCCCGCGGGUGUGGGGGCUCCGCAAGACUGCGAGCGAGUACCCGGGAGUGUGUUACAUCAGGGAGUGAGGAGCGGGGCCUCGAACUCCAGAGAGGCCGUGUCUUCUGUCCCACCCAGGACAUGCUUCCAACACGGAAAGGCGGCCACGGAGCUCGAGGAAACGCCUACCGGCAAGAGAGCCUGCCAUCGCUUUCCUGUCCCUGCUGCUUCUCCAUGUUGGCCGAGUGCCGAUGCUGGAGGUGAGGCCAGAGGAGGAGAAGACGGGCGCCCGCAGUUCCUUUCCUCCCAGAGCUCCCGUGUCCCAGGCUGGCUGGGAUGUGCUCGGAGCAGACAGGAGGCGUGACAGCUACAUCCAUUCUGCACAGCCUUCCCCGUCCCGAGAGGAGUGAAAAAUGCACACGCACGGAUGAGCUAAAGACACAGAUUGUGGGGUUCAGCCAUUCUGCGUGAGAGUCACAGUUCUUAGAUUUGCAUUUAAAUCCGGCAUCGCACAGUGUAACAAUGACAGUAAAAUUCAUGCUGAGGAUUUCAAAUCUUCCUUUCCUCGAAUGACAUUAAAGGCAAAUAAAAAAACACUGAGACAAGUAGAGAGAUCACGGAAGAAAGGGUCCGGGAUGUGGAUUCGUUUCUGCCAAUUCCAUGUUGAAUUGAAGACAAAGAUAACAGGAGCAGGUACAUGCAUUGUCAGUUGCUCUUCCAGCAGCUGUAUGUUUAUCCUCUAGGAUUUGUUUUCUUUUUUUUUUGGUGAGGAAGAUUGUCCCUGAGCUAACAUCUGUGCCAGUUUUCUUCUAUUUUGUGUGUGGGACACUGCCACAGCAUGGCUUGAUGAGCAGUGCUAGGUCCAAGCCCGGGAUCCAAACCUGCAAACUACUAGCCACCAAAGCGGAGCACACGAACUUAGCCACGAUGCCACUGGACCGGCCCCAUCCUCUCCUUUAGUAAUCACUGUAACUUGUGAGCAGGACACAGUUGGAAACAUUGGUUAUAUUACCAAGGCUUUGACUGGAAUGUCGCAUUUGAGAAAAACAUGCAGACUUAGAUAUGGCAAGAUGGCUUUUGAAGAACAAAGGUUGACUUUAUGGAAUAAAGCUGCCUGGAAAUAUUGGCCUGGUACCUUGUUUACAGGAUUCCCAGCAACCUUACCAGGGAGUCACCCCUCAAGUGCACCAUACCUGAGUCGAGAGCCACCUGAACCACAAGACCUAGAAACUCCAAGCCAUCCUGGCUUCUCCUACGAGUCACUCUCAGGCCUGAAGCUCUUAUUCCGGAGACACAAAGAUAAGUCCUUGGUGGGCUGGUGUCCCACCCCGUGGAGGUGCCGGGGCUCCUUCUCCUGUCGUCUCUCAUAACUAUACUUAUCCCCACGCUGACCUGUGCCCCCUGGAGUGCCUGUGUCUACAGCACCACCAGGCUACAGAGAGGCUAGUUGGUUAAACAAAAAGGGCCGAUCUGGAGUGGAGUCGAACAGGCUCUUCCCAGCCUGGUUUGGUUUCUAUCACCUUUGGGGGACCUCUUGGGGCUAUUCCGCUGCUUCCACUCUUAGGGCUUUGCAUCCUAAGCUGUCUGGUUUCCUGUGUUAGCAAAAGACUAGAAUCUAUUAAACUCCAAAUGGUAUUAACGAGGGAUAUGAGAGGUUAGGAGUCCAACUGGAUGACAAGCAAACCUACCUAAAAGUCGUUGGGCGUAAGCCCUGCUCCUCCACGGGCCCCUGGGACGCAGCCCUGCUCAGCUGGAAGUAGUUACGGAAGAUGCACCUUCACCUCCUGCCCCUCAACAAUGAGAGCAGGACAUUGUCAGAGGAGGAUUUUGUCCCCCAGGGAAGUCCCUGACAUGUUUCCGUGUCUAACGCUUUGUUCUUAAGCUGUGCUUGCUUAUAGGAACCCAGGCAGGACAAUGCCAGGUGGCCCAACCACAGAACCGGUCCAAACCAGAAAGGUUCAAGAUGGUGAUGGGGUGCUGUGUGCAAAAGAUGCCAUGUGCAAAAGGAAAUCGUGCAAAAGUGCCGUGUGCAAAAGGAAAUGUGUGCAAAAGUGCCGUGUGCAAAAGGAAAUGUGUGCAAAAGUGCCGUGUGCAAAAGGAAAUCGUGUGAAAGGAGCUCUGUGCAGGAAGGGAAGACCUUCGCAUGCCCCCGCCCCGAGCGAUGAGGCGGAGACCUCUCCCCUUCACAUCCACGAGAACCCUGCUCACCUUCCCUUCCAGGAGAAGGUGUUGGAGAGCAGGAGCUCUGCCUCCUCCAUUCGUUGAUGAGUGAAUAGCGUUUCUGCUCUGCUAUUCUGAACCCAGUCUUGUCCUAUUGGCAUGGGUGGCUCCGGGCAAAAGGACCCCUUUGCAGGUCACUGGUCCCUUGGGGCUCCGUAACACCUCCUCCACACGGCAGUGGUGCCAGAUGGACCUGGGUGCAGAAGAGCGCAGAGUCACCUGCUCGCUGUGGGGCCACAACAGCCCAAAGCGCCCCUGGGGGCCCAGGAUGGAGUCUUUCAGAGGACACACCAGCUUCAGGGGCCCCAGGAGAGACAAACCUUGAGCCUUCCUUGCACAGCUCAAGGCCUGAGGCAGGCAGAGGCCUCCAGCAGAGCCUCCAGGGUCCUUCCGGGUCAGAGCCAGCAGGGGGUCAGGGCUGCAGGGUCACACCAGUAGACACGCAGCCCGGCCAGGCAGCACCGAGUGGGAGGAGGGAGCCUGAGACGCGGGGUGGGGACAUGGGCAGACACAGGAGAAGCCACCUUACCCCCAAGUCCCCUGAACCUCCCCUCUGGGAAGCAGCCUUGCCUUCCUCAAAGCCCAUCAACGCCCCACCUGGGGAAGUGGCCAGGAAGGAAGUGCGGCCCCGCCCCCGACCCCUCACUGAGGGCUCCUGCUGCAAGUUCCUGCAUGUGAGCUGCAGAGUGUGUGCUCCGGUGGAACUGGGCAUCGCCCAUGGCAUCGCCAGGGCCUGGGAGCACAGGUGAGUGUGCAGGGCGCCAAGACUCCAAGAGGAAGAUGAGACGCAGAGCUGAGCCGGGAGCGUCGGCUCAGCUGAAACGGAGCCAGACUUACAGAGGGGGGAACCUGCCCAGGGCUUGGGAUGCAACGAUGCUCGAAAGCAUGCAAGAAGAGAUGUCCUACAGGAAUAAGGCAGAUACCAGUGCUGCUGUGGAAGAUGAUGGAGGAAGGAGUCAAAGGCUCAGAGGAAUGAGCCUGCCGGAGGGACGGACCGUGAGUGCUGGAAAACCCACCGUCUGCUCUGUGGGAGGGACGGGAGGCGCCUUCACCAAUGCAAGGAGAGCGUGCUGGUGAGACGCUCACAUGGCCAGUGCGAGGUGCAGCUGCGCUCCCUGAGAGCAGUGGGGUGACGGGACCCAACACAUCAGAGCCCGGUGGUGGCACUCUCCCUCAAGCAAGGCAGGUGCAGCCGGUUACUCCGUGAGCGGGAGAGGACUGGGCAGCCAACACCCAGUGUGACGCAGCGUUGAGGGCAGGCUGUUGAGGGGCUGAGGGCAACUCCCCAGGAAAAGCGCUGGCCUUGAUCUUGAGCCCAUCCCAGACCCGGGACCCACUGCCUGAUGGAGACACUGGGCCCUGAGCAAGGACCCAGAACAUCACGGCCGUGUGUGAAGUGACAGCUUCCUGGGCCUUCCCCAAAAGGACUGUGGGCGUUUACUCCAGCGAGGGAAACGCCGGUACUGGGAGAUCCCUGUGCCUGCCUUGACACCGGGGACCCGAGCUUUCUUAGGGCCCCUAAGAGAGCGAGGGUCCACGGAGUCCUGCUGUGGGUCCAGCUCACAGUGGAGCCCCGGGUCCCAGAGCCACCGAGAGGUGGUUGGCAGCCUCCUCGUUGGCUCCUUGGCUGCGGGGCAAGAAGCUAAGUGGAACCCCAGAAACUCCCCCACCUCUGGCCAAGACAGUCGAUUAAAACCCAGUGGCACUCCCAGAGAAGGGACAUCAGCAUGGCUCACGGUCCCACCCGGACAGAGCCCGGGCUCUUGUGGAUGGCAGUGAACUUACUACAGACUCAGCUGAGCAGCGGCUGCCCAUGGAGGCGGAUGUUGGCCUGCAGCCGGUGGUCUCAGAGUGCCUUCCUCUCCGAUGGGACAGUGGUGCCCCGGAGUCCUGCCUGGGGCUCGGUCCUCUGCCCAAACGUGGCCAGACGCUCCACAGACCAUCAUGUUGGCCUGCUAUAUGGACCGUGUGUUCGUCUUCUACAGCUGCCACAUCAGAGAUCCACACGCUGGCUGAAGCAACACGUGCAGUCCGAGGGCCGGGGCGGCGGGCUGGUCUCCUCAGGGGCGCUGAGGAGGAGCUGCUCCAGGCCUCUCCCCGGCUGCUGGGGCUCACUGGCAUCUUUGGUGCUCCUUGUCCUACAGACACAUCACCCUAACUCCGCCUCCAUCUCCACGUGGUGCUCUCCCUAUGUGUGUAUGUGUGUGUCUGUGUCCAAAUUUCCCCUUUUUAUUUUUAUUUAUUUUUAUAAGGG